ACAUUUGUUAAAAGAGAAAGAGACUCCCCAGGGCAAAAGUACGAUAAAUACAAGAUAUAAGAAAGAAGGCAAUGCUUUCUUUUUUUUCAUUUUUGAUCUGUAAGCUGAAUAUAUAUGAUAUUUCUUUUCUUUGAAGCAAAAAUUCUAUAACAAGGUUUGAGACCUUGUGUUUGUAUCUAUUUCUCUUUUUGUAUACUAGUGGAAUUUCAUUGUAUUGGGUUCUUUCUUAGAUCUAAAUGGAGUGGAAUAGAGAAAUAAAAAAAGGCCUUUCGUAUAAAAAUGGAAGAAUAGCCACGGAUGGUACCUGCGCUCCAAACUCAACAAUGUUUCAAAUGCUAGCGUGGAGUGAGGUUAGAUGAUGCCUCAUUUUAUUACUCCACAUACAAUAAUCUUCACCGUCAAAAACCGGUGGUUUGCCUAAUGGGACGGAAAGUAAAGGAGUGCGUUUGGAAAUGCGGGGAUAAAGUAAGGGGAUCUUACUAAACUUCUUGCGCUCAUGGCGCUUAGAAGUGACGGACGGUGCGUCGGAACCGGAGGUGGAGGGCGAUGAAGAAUCGGUCUCGUAGUAAACCACCUUCUUCAUUUUCUUCUUCUUGUCGCCACUCCGGUACGACUUGAUGCGGGGAGGUGAGUCCUCACUUCCUUUGGCGCCGGACUCCUUUGAUGGAGCCUUCUCGCGGCUUGUGUCCGUUUCCAUCUCCCUCUUGGUGGAUCCUCCCGACAUCACUUUGAGUGAUUAGACUCUAAUGAAGUACCGGGUUCUGAUACCAAUUGAAAGUCACCUAGAGGGGGGUGAAUAGGCGGAAACUGAAAUUUACAAACUUUAAUCACAACUACAAGCCGGGGUUAGCGUUAGAAAUAAAUUCGAGUCCGAAAGAGAUGAUGAAAACAAAUCACAAGCAAAUGAAGAGAGUGACACAGUGAUUUGUUUUACCGAGGUUCAGUUCUUGCAAACCUAAUCCCCGUUGAGGUGGUCACAAAGACCGGGUCUCUUUCAAAUGAGGAAGUCGCGAAGGCGCUCAUACCAAGCCCUUGGAGCUUGCUUUAGCCCAUAUAGCGCCUUGGACAACCUGUAAGCAUGGUUAGGAUAUCUAGGGUCUUCAAAUCCAGGCGGUUGCUCAACAUAUACAAGUUCAUUUAUGAAGCCAUUUAAAAAUGCACUUUUUAUAUCCAUUUGAUAAAGUUUUAUAUCAUAGCAUGAUGCAUAUGCAAGUAGGAUACGGAUGGCUUCCAGUCGAGCAACCGGUGCAAAGGUCUCUCCAAAAUCUAAGGCUUCAACUUGAGAGAAUCCCUUUGCAACAAGUCUUGCCUUGUUUCUUACAAUCACACCUUGAUCAUCUUGUUUGUUUCUGAACACCCACUUUGUUCCAAUGAUUCUUGCAUCUUGUGGGGGCUUCUCCAGGGUCCAAACUUCGUUACGGGUGAAGUUGUUAAGUUCUUCUUGCAUGGCAUUCACCCAGUCCAGAUCAUGUAGCGCCUCAUCUAUACAAGUAGGCUCAACACAAGAAACAAAGGAGUGAUGUUCAAUAAAAGAGGCAUGUCUAUGUGAUCGACUAAUAACCCCUUGUGAAGGACUCCCGAUGAUUUGGUUUUGAGGAUGAGCUUGAAGUAGUGAUGAGUUUCUCCUGUUAACCACUUGGGAAGAAGAUCCUGGAGCAUCAACGUCUUCGGCUUGUACCCUUGCUUGUUCAUGAGAGACAAAUGUAUCUUCAUUUGCAUGCCUCUCAUCUUUUUCAUCAUCUUGUGGUACAUUUGAUGAAGAAGGUCUGUCAAUGUUUUGCACCUCUUCUUCAUCUUCUUUUGGUUUGAUAGCUCCAAUUGGCAUGUUCUUCAUUUCUUCCCUAAGUGGCUCAUCACCUACAUCAUCAAGAUUUUCAAGUGCUCCUUGGAAGCCAUUAGUCUCAUCAAAUUCCACAUCAUAUGUUUCUUCUACCACGCCAGUGGCAUGGUUGAAUACUCGAUAUGCUUUGGACUUUAAUGAAUAACCCAAAAGAAAACCAAUAUCACAACGUCUUUGAAACUUCCCUAGGUGAUGGCGUUUCUUGUAGAUGUAGCAUUUGCACCCAAACACCCGGAAGAAGGAGACGUCUGGCUUUUUCCCAUUUAGCAGUUCAUAGGGAGUCUUCGCAAGUAGCCGGUGAGGAAAUAGCCUGUUUGAUGCAUAACAAACAGUGUUGACAGCUUCGGCCCAAAACCUCUCCGGUGUGUUAUACUCAUCAAUCAUUGUUCUUGCAAGUGUGAUCAAGGUCCUAUUUUUUCUUUCAACAACUCCAUUUUGUUGAGGUAUGUAUGUUGCAGAUACUUCAUGCUUGAUCCCAAUUUCAUCACAGUACUCAUGAAUGUUGGUGUUGUCAAAUUCUUUGCCAUUAUCACUUCUAAUCUUCUUGAUCUUGCAAUCAAAUUCAUUUUGUGCUUUCUUGGCAAACUUCUUGAAUAUAGAUGCAACUUCAGAUUUGUCAUGAAGAAAGAACACCCAAGUGUAUCUUGAGAAGUCAUCAACAAUCACUAGACAGUAGAGGUUGCCACCGGCACUUACAUAAUUUGUAGGUCCAAAUAAAUCCAUAUGAAGUAGUUCCAGUGGCCUUGAUGUUGACAUGAAAGCUUUAGUAGGAUGUGUGUUAGCAACUUGCUUUCCAGCUUGACAUGCACUACAUGGCUUGUCUUUUUCAAACACCACAUCCUUUAAUCCUCUAACCAUGUCUUUCUUUAAUACCUUCUUGAGUGUGCUCAUCCCAACAUGUGCAAGCCUCCUAUGCCAAAGCCAUCCAAGUGAAGCUUUGGUGAAGAGGCAAGUUCUUAAGUCUGCAUCUUCUGAAGUGAAAUCCACUAAGUAGAGGUUGUUGUAUCUAAAUCCCUUGAACACCAUUGAUUCAUCAUCCAUCUUUGUUACAAUAACCUCUGUUGGAGUGAAUAAGCAUUGAAGUCCAAGAUCACAGAGUUGAUCCACUGAUAAUAAAUUGAAGCUCAAAGGUGCAACUAAGAGAACAUUUGAUAUUGAUAAAUCAUUUGAAAUUGCCACCUUGCCAAGUCCUUGCACUUUUCCUUUUGAAUUGUCUCCAAAUGUGAUUUUAUCUUGUCCAUCAACAUUCUCAUCAAGUGAGGUGAACAUCUGUGGGUUGCCUGUCAUAUGUUGUGUGCAUCCACUGUCAAUAACCCAAUGGCUCCCACCGGUCUUGUAGUUCACCUACAUCCAGAGACAAAUCAAGCUUGAGUUUUGAGGGCCUUAUAUUGCAUAGGACCAGUGACUCUCUCAAUCAAGGACUUUGCAACCCAGAUUUGUCUAGGUCUACUAUUGUUUGGUGGACCUAGGAAUGUAACUUUGACCUUUCCAUUAGCAACCUUUCUUAGAACAUAAUGAGCAUUGAAAGCAAAUGGUCUUGAGUGCUUAGGCAAGGGAGUUGGUGGUUUGGCUUUGCAAUUGUGGGCAAAAUGACCUUCAUUUCCACACUCAAAGCAUUUGAUAGGCUUGUGAGUCUGCUUUGGCUUGUAUUGAGUGGUAGCUUUCUUUUGCACAAAAGCAUUGUAUCCAAUACCACUCUUGUUGUUUUUCAUAACAGUGUUCAUAAGCAGCUCAUUUUGGAGGUAUUGACCCUUGUUGAACUUUUGCACACUUGUUGCAAGAUGUUCAUUUUCACUUUUUAGUUUCUUGACCUCAUUUUUAAGCCUUUGAUUAUCCACUGCCAACUCAUUGUUGAAAUCAUUGUUCUCAAUAGCAACCUUUCCUCUAGUAGUUGCAUCAGUCAAGUAUUUCUUCAAUUUUUGGUUGUCUAAAGUCAGGACUUCAACUUUUUCAGUCAAUUCAGCGUGUAGACUAGUUUGCUCUUCUUGACUCAAAUCAUCACAUGAGGUUGCUACAUCAAUCUUAACAACAGGGUUAAUAGCCUCAUGUGUUUUGCAAGAUAAAAGUUCAUUUUCAACAAGAAGAUUGUCAUGAUCAAAUUUAAUUUGAGUAUAGUCUUCCUUGAUUUUCACUAGUCUAUUUUGCAACUCCCUAUUAGCUUCAUUUAAUUUGUCACAUUUAUCCUUAGCAUCUUUUAGGGAGUUUGUGAGCUCAUUUACAGUUGAUGACAUAGUUUUAUUUUCUUCUUUUAUUUCAUCACUAGCUUUCAUAACUAUGUCAUAUUUGGCAUUUAAAGAUUCAUUUUCAUUUUUCAACCUAUCACAUUUAGCUUUUGACUUUCUAAUGAUUUGAGUAUAUUCUUUAAGCAAGUCAGCUAGCUCAUCAUAUGAAGGUGAAGCAAAUUCCUCAUCACUAUCACUAUCACUAUCAUCAGCAAUAUUAAUAUCAUUUUGUACCUUCCGUUCACCCCUAGCCAUGAGGCAUAGGUGAGAAGUCGAUGAUGGCGAUGGUGGUGGUGAAGAGAAGUCCCCGGCGAUGGCGGCAACUUUUUCAUCAUUCUCUUCUUCACUAGAAGAAGAUCCACUUGAUGACUUAAUGUCAGUGAGCCAGUCACCAACAAUAUAUGUCUUUCCAUUCUUCUUCUUGUGGAACCUCUUUUGCUUCCCAUCUUUCCACUUGAAGAAUUUCUUUUCCUUCUUUUCAUCAUCGUUGUCAUCUUCUUUCUUGCCCUUGAACUUGUUCUUCUUGGGCUUGUUACAUUGAUGAGCAAGAUGACCGAGCUCACCACAGUUGUAGCAAUCCAUCCCAGAAAUGGGCUUUCUUUUGUUGGAAAAGAACUUCUUCUUUCUUGAAUCAAAUUUGAUGCCUUCUCUAUUGAGCUUCUUCAACAUCUUGGUGGUCUUCCUUACCAUCAAGGCAAUGUUAGCAUCAAGGUCAUCAUCACUUGAGGAUUCUUCCUCAACUUGUAUUUUUGCUUUCCCUUUUCUUUCUUGAUUUUCUUUGAGAGCCAAAUCCUUUCUUUUGGAAGCUGACUCUUCUUUGUCGUUGAUGUGCAUGUACAUCUCAUGAGCAUUGAUCUUUCUCAAAAUCUGUGUAGGUGUGGUAACUGAAAGAUCCAUUUGAUGUAGUACAGUGACAAUGUGUCCAUAUUUGUCUAUUGGGAGGACACUGAGAAUCUUCCUCACAACAUCCGGUUGUGAGAUUUGAGUAAGCCCCAAUCCAUUAACUUCCUCUACAAGAAUAUUGAGACGUGAGUACAUAGCAUUGGCAUUUUCAUUAGCAAGCAUUUCAAAAGAAUUUAACUUUCUCAUGGCUAUGUGAUAUCUCUCCUCACGCUCACUUCUAGUUCCUUCAUGUAGAGCACAAAUAUCCAUCCACAAAUCAUGAGCAUUUUUAUGAUUUCUUACUCUAUUGAACACAUCUUUGCAAAGGCCUCUAAAAAGGGUGUUUUUGGCCUUAGCAUUCUAUUUCUCAUAAUUGAACUCAUCACCUACAAGAUUUGUGGGAUCUCUAGGUUCGGGGAAUCCUUGUGUGGCGGCUUUAUAGACACCAAUGUCUAUAGCCUCUAAAUAUGCUUUCAUACGAAUUUUCCAAUAAGGAAAAUCGUCACCAUCAAAAACGGGAGGAGGUCCAUCCCCACCGGACAUUGUAACUCUUAGCGGUUAAGCUAAUCUAAGAGCAACAAGGCUCCGAUACCAAUUGAAAGGAUCACGAUGCCCAGGAGGGGCGGUGAAUUGGGCUUUUCUAAAAAUCAACACUAAUUAAAACCUAAGCAAGAGCCCAACUUCACCCCAACAACUAGCACUAAGAAUAUAAUACUAGAAAUGCAACAAUGCUAAGACAAUACUUCAAAUACUUGCUCAACAAAUACACAAUGUAAAGUGCUUGAAUUAAGUGCGGAAUGUAAAGCAAGGUUUAGAAGACUCCUCCAAUUUUUCCCGAGGUAUCAAAGAGUCGGCACUCUCCACUAGUCCUCGUUGGAGCACCCGCACAAGGGUAUCGCUCCCCCUUGGUCCUCGCAAGAACCAAGUGCUCACUACGAGAUGAUCCUUUGCCACUCCGGCGCGGUGGAUCCCUCGAGACCGCUUACAAACUUGAGUCGGGUCACCAACAAGAUCUUCACAGUGAUCACCGAGCUCCCAACGCCACCAAGCCAUCUAGGUGAUGCCGAUCACCAAGAGUAACAAGCCGUAGACUUUCGCUUGACCAAGAGAAGCCUAAUGCAAGUGGUGUGUGCUCUAGGUGGCUCUCGCUAGCACUAAUGAGGAACAAAUGUGGAUUAGGAUUCUCUAAUCUCCUCACUAGGCUUUUGGUGCUUGCAAUGCUCUAGCAAUGUGCUGGAAUAAAUGUGGGGUGCAAGACAUUGAAUAUGGUGGGUGGAGGGGGUAUAAAUAGCCCUCACCCACCAACUAGCCGUUACAGGCAUCUCACUGCGCAAUGGCGCACCGGACAGUCCGGUGCGCCAACGGUCGUUUCCAACGGCUAGUUCUGACAGUUAGCCGUUGGACUCAUGGCACACCGGACAGUCCGGUGCGAUGUUCGGUGCGCUGUCCGGUGCGCCACUAAAAUUCAACUCUGAAACCUGCGCUCUCGGGUUUCUGCGUGGGAAAGCCUCUUCCCCGGGCCAGCCUGGCCCCACCUGGCAGAGGGUGCACCGGACAGUCCGGUGCACACCGGACAGUCCGGUGCCCCAGGGCCAGAAACCCUACUUCUUGUUUUUCAGCUAUUUUUCAAAUCGGUUUUCGUUCUAACUUGUGAGUGAGUUCUAGAGUGACACCUAGCACUGUAUGUGAGUGUGAUUGUGCACCAACACUACACUAGAACUCUCUUGGUCAAACUACUCAUCGACAACCCCUCUUUAUAGUACGGCUAAAAGAGAAUAAAAGACCUAACUAAAUCAUGAGUGUCCACAUCUCCUCGACACUCGGACUCUAUAGUCCUUCACCUUUUGUUUCGUCGUUUUAGCCGUUGCUUCGAGUUCUUAUCUCUGGGAUUGUUUUCACCGUUGUAGUACUUCUACCUGUAAUGCGACCUAACUUACCAUUUGUCUCUGCAAAACACACGUUAGUCACAUAAAACAUUACAUUGUCAUUAAUCACUAAAACCAACCAGGGGCCUAGAUGCUUUCACCCAGGAAAGCCUCUGUCGAGGGGAUCACGCUGCGCCGUGCUAAUGGAUUCGCCCCAGCGCACCUUCCAUCAACGAGGUGAAUCACGGGCGCAAUCCCAGCGGGCCUUCCAUCGGCGCCCGCCCCACUCUCCGACCAUUGGAAGGUGAAGCUGCAGGGAUUGCGCUAAUGGAUCCGCCCUCCAGAAGCAGUUAAGAGGUGCGGCCCACCGGAGUUCCCUUGCAUCUGUUUCCACUCGAUUUUUUCCAUCCUUGCGGAUUGUUUGGCUGAUUGACCUGGUUCGUUUGCGGUAUGGUGGUUGGCACAGAUCUCUUGAAGCACCCGGUGGAUGGGUUCUCUGCUGGGAUGGUCGAUGACAGCAAUGUCUUCGAGUGGCAGGUCACCAUCAUCGGACCGCCUGACACCCUAUAGUGAGUCAGAUCCUCUCCAUUUCAAGCUUGCUUCCAUGCCUUGUCAAGAUGAGUUGCUUGUUUGUUGUGUCGGUGCUAUGAGCAAUGGACUACGAUGGUGUUUGUGUGGAGAACUGGAGAUCUCGUCUGUGUGUUACUGUGGACCGAAAUCAGGGAUUGAAAAUCUAACUAUAUGUGCAGUAUUGAUUUCUGGUGGAGGCAUUGCUCAUGGCAUAAUAUUUGACAUCAUGUAAGAAAGAUGCAAAUACAAAAUACGAGAUGCUACAACUAUAUCUUACCGCCUUUGAAAUAUUUUGUGGCCUCGGAAACAUUCCCCAUGAUAUAACUGUGGGUCUAUAAACAUCUCCAUCUUCUUCUGUCUCAAUAACAGUUGAAGGGGGUGCUAUCCCAGCCUUGUCAGCUUCAUUUGGUUUAGUAGUCGAUUGAGAUGCUUCCCCUAACUCCCUGUUGUUUACCGGUUGGAUUUCAGUUCGGCGAGGAGACUUGUCGAAUUUGCUCGGGUCUCCAACUAUUAUGUCCACCUCAGGAAAAUCGUCAUCUCGUAAAGGCUCAAAAGCUGGAGCCAGCCCAGGUGGUAGACCUUUAGAACGUUUUUUUCUCAAAGAAGUCGAGACCCAAAAAAUCAGCCUCAUCAAACUCGUACCCUCCUCUCUUGCCAAACGAAACUUCUUCACUUGUGGCAUCCAAAUGGUCAGCUUUUUAUUAGUGAAAAUUGUAUUUAUUUAGUUCAUCUGCAGUUAUGUUUUCUGACAUCAUACAUAAUAUUUGAGGAAACGCCAGUCUAUCCUGAUGGACGGGUUUGUAUCUCUAUUCUUCAUCCACCCGGUGAAGAUCCAAACGGUUAUGAGCUCGCAAGUGAGCGAUGGACACCUGUGCACACAGUAUGGCUUCGUAUACUUUGUUUACAUACCUUUUUCCCCAUUUUUAUCUUCUGUUCUCCACUAUGAAGCCAUUAUUAUAUUACCAAAUUUACUGGGAUGCAUCAUCCAAACAACAUUCAGAAGUUCACUGGUAGAUCUGUAAUGGUGAAGCUGCAGGGGUUGCCUCCCCAUUUAUUCUGAUGAUUAUCUUGUUCUAAUGAUUAUCGUAAUCACCUCUUAUUCUGAUGAUUAUUUUGUGUUUGAUUGCCUGGUAAAUUCUCAAGUCGUAUGUGCAGUUUUUGUUUUGUUUACAAGAAUGCUCCCUUUUUCAUAUGCAUAUGAGGUGGAUGAAUCCGCAAAUAGAUGUUCAAAUGAAUCAUAAGAAUAAGAGGGGAUUGUUCUUUCUUAGAAAAUCUGUGAUGAAUCUGAAGUUUGGGACUCCAUACACAUAAUCUACUAUAUGUUUGAAUUUUCUGUUGAAUAGGUCACUGCAUCUUCAGGGACUUCAUGCAACAUCCAAAUAUGGUUUCCGUCAUGCUGAAGUUAUUUCUUUUGCUCCAAUUUGGCAACUUCAAAUUCAUGCUUACGAUAGCUCUGAUGUUCCACUUUAUUAUCUCCUUUUGUGUAGCUUGUUUUGGUUGUCCCUUGAUCUCUUGAUAUGGUGACUUGUGAAGACUUUGGAUGAUCAAAAUGUGUGAGGAUUAGGCUUUGGUCAAUUUGAUUGUGCCUUCCUGAGACAACCGGUGCUGCCCUCUUUUGGCAUAGGUUUCUGGACCUUUGCAGUCCUAAAAAUAUUCAACCUAGAAGUAAUGCAAUAUAUAGGGCCUGUUUGGAUCACCGCUCCGGUUCCCACGCCGCGCCACACUUGCCACGCCGCAGUUGUGGCGGCCGAAUCGGCCGCCACACGUUAGGCAAGAUGUGGCGUUGGAGGUCAGACUCCAAACAGGCCCAUAUUCUAGCAGUUGUACCACAACAAUUUAUCCAUGGAUCAUAAGCAACUGCACUGAUCAAACUAAGACCAAGUCACCAAGAACGAUAUUGUCUCGUAGCUAUUGAGACUAAGGAUGAUAUUAAUUGGUAGCUGAUGAAGAUAUACCAUAAACUUAUGGGUUCAAUGAACAUAAAUUUUAGUGAGGUGGGCAAGGGCUACAAGGAGCCAUUUUAUACAACAGUUCAUGUUUCCAUUUCAAUUAAUCUUAAGUUUGAUAGUUUGGAACAGUACCAUUUAAUAUAACCAAAGUAACAGUGACUUCAUGCGGCGUUUUGGGAGAUACAAGGUUCAAAAUAGUCAUUGACCUUAUAACUCAAAAAUUGUCAGCAUGAACAAGGCAGAGGCAUUUUCAAGUUCAAAAGAUUGAAAAAUGAGAAUCAUAACUGGUACGGGUUUGUAUAAAUUAUUUAAUCCGUCCAAAGAAACUUCAAAUAUUAUCAUUUAUAGAAGUAUAAGCACCUGGAAAGAAGCAAUCAAGGUGAAUACAACUAGGCCCUUCUGCUUUGCCUCCACUUUUCUUGUGGCAAAGCUGGAUCCAUCACGUGCCCGAUGAACUUGAUAUAUUAUCGGUACUACACCAGAGGACAAAUCAAAGACAGUCAUGAGCAUCACAUUCUUUUUUGGAUUAAAAGAAAGUGCACUAAGUAUCCCAGGUUACUACAAAGCCAGAAAAUGUUGUAUGGGUAUCAGACUUUGUGGACUAAACAAAUAUUUCUUUUGGUCUCAAGUCAUGUAUUUUGACUUUUGAUAACCUUUCGUUUUUGUUCAGUCCAGUUGACUGCAUUCUUUGGACUUUAGAUGCGCGAUCUGUGCCGAAAGCAUUGAGCAAUUGCAGUUGAGUCUACAGGUGCAGUCGACUUAAGUGCAGAGUGCAGAGGAACAAUUUUGUCUCCUAAACAUCCUGUGUCAACCAGUUUUAGCAAACUGCAAGAAAAUUAAUUCACUUAACAUGGAAAAUGUCGUAUCAACUAAGAUAUUCCUGAUUUCAUAACAUGUUGUCCCUUUAUAGUUCUAGAGUUCCAUUUUUUUAAAAAAAGUUUGUUUGUUUUGCAGUUUUCUAUUGAUUUACCCAUCAAAAUCUCCCAGCUUGGAAGCCAGCAAUGACACCUGGAUUUGUAAGUUUGCUCUGAUCCUAUUGACAUGUUUGGCAUAGAAUGUCACUUUUAAAUUUUCUCCCUAAUAAUAUACUCCCUGCAUCUGCAUCCAAUUUUGAUCUUUGUAUGGGCAAUGAGAUCAAAUAGUGUGCAUGCAUGUUAUAUUGAUUAUUUUGCAUGUAGCCAGUAUAGACAGCAAAGCUGCAUGUAUGUUCUCAUGCAGGUGAGGUGAGGGAUAUCCUAGGAGAGGAAAGACUGUACCAGGGGGGUCCUGAGGAAACUUCACUAUGGGGUCUUGUAGUCUCUUUGUCGUUCUAGCAUUCUCAAACUAGCCCUCACCAUGGUAGCUUUUUCCUUCCAUUUGGUUCCCUAUUUAUAUAUAUUGGUUAUUUAAGGUGCUUUUACAACAUGCAUUGGAUAACCACCCCAAACAUGCAUUUAAGGUGCUUUUACUUUACUGUUUUCAGUUAACAACAAAUUAUGUUUCUCCCUUAGGAUCAAAAUAACUUUGAAUCGUGUAUUGAUACUAUAUCAGAUAGACGGUUUCUUCUUUAUUAAAGUUUAUGUAGCCUGAUGCAAGAUUGGAGAGUGAAUUGUGAUGCCCAGCUUUGUAUUCUGGUCUUGAAGCAUUAGUGGAAGAAAAGGACAAUCAAAUCCAGAAGGUAUCUGCUACUUGUGACUUUUUCAUGUGUAUUCAUCCCAACAUCUUUGUACAUGAAGAAACAUAGUAACCAUAGUGAACUAACUGCACAUGUUGCAUACGUCAUUUAGCAUGUCGAUUGUCUUCACUUCGAAAAUAUGACGACUUCAAUGACAUGAUGUAAAAUUUCACUUGUUUGUUGCAGAUAGAGAAAGAAAUUAAGGAACUAAAGUUAUGGUGUGAUUUCGUAGGUGGAGUUCCUCAUGGACAUCGUCAGCAACGAAGAGAUGGCGCUCAUCGACACCGCUAGGAGAAGAAACUUAUAAGUGAUGGGUCUUUAUAACCAAACAAUUUUAUGAGCUUAAAAUAAUUUUCUUAGUUUCUUUUAUACUUAGCCCAUGCAUUUUCGUCCAGUUCACUUCUAAAUUGUUGCUCCUUGAGGGCUGCUAAAACCCAUGGAGAAAGUUACCGAUUUGUGACAUGAUAUCAGAAAGCUAGAAGUUUAAAGUUAGCAUUCAUACAUGUUCUUAAUGACAAAGGCAAAAUUAAUUUAAUUUUUACCAGUCGCAAGGAACUAACUGUUACAUAUUAUAGUUAAACUUAAUUUUUAUGAGCUACAAUUCAUUUGAAACAUGAUUACCCUUUAUUUUUUUUACGCAUUUGGUUUUAUAACCGUGGUGGUCUCAUGUAUGAUUAUGCAGAUUUAGAUAACUUAUUCCCAUUCUUCUAUAAUGUGUGGAGUCGUCAGAUGUGCGACAAACCAGUUCUCUAGGUUGCUCCUAAUUGGCACUCCUUUGAUGUACCCUUUAUCAUCUUUUGAGUUCUAACGGUGUAGAGUAGAGAUGCCUGGUGAUUGCCUCUUUGUAGAUACUCUUCCUAUUGCAUGUGUAUAAACUUCACAGAGACUAGAUUUGGGUUUAGUCAUUUCAUGUAUUUAGUUCAUUUAUUAAGUUUCAUGAUUUAGUUUAGUUUUGUAUUGGUUGCCAAAGAAUUUGUAAGAUUUUGAGGUCGAUAGUAUAUAUAAUAUUUGAUUUAUAUAAUCGUUAUGCACUGACAUUUUAUCGAAUAUUUUAUAUACCGUUGCAACGCACGGGCAUAUACUUAGUGAAUAACUAAAUACCUUAUUUAAAUGACAUAAUUGAUAUUACUAUCCAGAAAAAUGUCAGGGAUCCGAAGGGGAUUUGGAUUCCAAACUAGUUUAGAUGAUUUGUUUGCACUAUGAGACACUAUUGCAGGCAUACAUGCAUGCGCGAAUCAUGAUGGCUGACUAAUGGAUGCAUGUGUGUAGGCGGCAACCGUGGGAAAAAUUGAACAGUGAAAUUACUGAUUGGCUGCGACAGGGUCUCUAGGUAAUGGUUAAGGCUUUCGAGUAGCACCUUUAGGUCUCGAGUUCGAUCCCUCUUGAGAGCAAAUUUUAGGUUAGUUAAAAAUAUAUUCGUUGUGUCUCGUUCGCUCCGAGGUUACGUCCUACGUGCCACCCUUCCGACUGACCGUUGUAGAGUAGGCGGUGAUGACCAGCCAGUGAUGGGGCCAAAAUUUGGGAAUUGUCUUAGACAAGACCAUAUUUAAAUCUAUUUGUAAUAUAAUAUCAGGAGGGUGAUCUUUCUCUCUCUUUUGAGCCCAGUUUUUUUAGAUUACUGAAUAGCUGGCCGGGCAUGGGGAUGAUGGAGGGAGGGAGGAACUCUGUACACGAAAGCUCAAGCUUUCGCCGCUUUAAACCAAAGGAAAGCGAUGAUGUGCCCGAUGCGUGACACACAGGAGGGUCCAACGGAUUCGACGGGAGAGCCGCGCGCGCCUUCACACACAAAAAAAUUAUAUGCCGUUGCGCAGAAAAGCUGCAACGGCAACUUUGCUCUCCGCUUUCUCUGCACACCACUCUCAUUAUUAUUAGCAGCAGGCGAGCACGCCGGUCGCGCGCGGCCCAAUGCAAGCUCGCUCCGUUCACCCCGCCGACUGUAACUCAUGCAGAGCUUAAUUAGAUUAGGUAAUAAACCGUCUUCCUACUACACAAUCGUCCAAAGGAUUAAACAUGCAUGGAACAGCGAUACAAGCGUUUAAUAUGCUAGCGUCUUGCUGUCUUAGAAGUUAUCAAUGUAUAACCACCAGGACGAGGUAGAAUCUAGUAGGUUGCAAAGAUUCAGUUAGUUACUACCAUGCGCUGUCAUUCGUUCCCUUGAGGGUAUCUAUAUAUCUAAUCUACCUUGUCCUUGUUCCUCGUAAACAUCACUUGUGUUUAUUUAUUAUUUAUCCGCUACGAAAAGCGCACAUAUGUUCUGUUCUUGGGGUAAUAAAGACGACGUAGAGUGAUUUUGUGACGUUUGGUUUUUAAACAUAUAGCUGCACUUUACUUGGAAUCAACGAGGGAAAGGUGUAAAGCUAGCGUUUAGCGUGACCCUAGCCCCAGGGUGGGGGUAUCUGAUCGAGGCAAGAUAAUUUACUAAUGAUAUGUCAAGUAUAGCUUCAUCAAAACUUAAUUGCAAGAUAUAUAUAUAUAUAUAUAUAUAUAUAUAUAUAUAUAUAUAUAUAUAUAUAUAUAUAUAUAUAUAAAGCACCAGCGAAUCUAUAUCUAUAACCUAAUAUGGCACCUGGUGUUACCACGUCUUCACCCUCCAUGGUAUCCUACCGCGCAAAAAAUAGUACAAAGCGAGCACUCUAACCCACAACACCUUUGCUCCAAACAUUUUAGGGUAACCAUCAGACCACACAUACAUUAGUGUUUAUAAAUAACAAUAAUUAUAUUUGAAUAAAUAUCUUAAUACAUAUUUAUCUAUACUACUCUAUUAAGAACCUAAUGUAGGCACCUAGUGCUACCACAACUUUACCAUCCACGCUGACACUCUGAGCCCGCCCCACGCGCUCAGCGCCCACGCAACACUCUCUCAGCUACUGCCCUGUGGAUCCCACGCCCACGCAGCUAGCUAUUACGUCUGUCCACCACCUGACCCCGCCUGCGCAACUACCACACCAAACAAAAAAUAGUGCAGAGAGAGCACUCGAACCCACGCCCCCCUGCUCCAGAAAUUUAGGUCUAAUUAACUAUCAGACCACACGUACCUUAGUGUUUAGAAAUAAACAAUAAUGAUAUUUUAAUAAAUAUCUCAAUACAUGUAUAUAUAUAUAACCGUAACAAAGCAUGGGCAACUGGCUAUAUAUAUAAAUCGUAACAAAGCACGGGCAACUGGCUAGUAUAGGUUCUAAGAUGUGGUUUUUGUUGAAGUUUAUUGGUCUUGAUCUAUUUACUUAACAUUAAAUCUAUACUACUUAUUAAGACUGCAACAGUAGUCUGCCUCCUCUGGUUCUGCCUAUCUACGGUUCUGCCUUCUAUCGAUCUGGACCGUUCGUAUCAAUCUACACCGUCUGUCCGUUAUGCCCACGCCGCGCGAGCCCUCCUCCCCCUCCGCAUUCGCCCCCGCCCACUCCUGUCUCCCUCCCGUGCCGCUCCUCUUGACCUCGCUCCCUCUCUCGCUCCCAUCAGGCACCCACCUCACCGACCGAUUCCCAACCUCGGCAGCACCCUCGUCGACUCCAGCGUGACCACACCGACCAACACCACAGAU
rnacentral:lncRNA from 1 species